AGAGUUUGAUCAUGGCUCAGAACGAACGCUGGCGGCGUGCUUAACACAUGCAAGUCGAACGGGAUCCAGAGCUUGCUCUGGUGAGAGUGGCGCACGGGUGAGUAACGCGUGGAUAACCUGCCCUGGUAUCUGGAAUAACAUCUCGAAAGGGGUGCUAAUACCGGAUAAGCCUACGGGAUCCUCGGAUUCUGCAGGAAAAGGUGGCCUCUAUUUAUAAGCUACCGUAUCAGGAUGGGUCCGCGUACCAUUAGCUAGUUGGUAGGGUAAUGGCCUACCAAGGCCACGAUGGUUAGCUGGUCUGAGAGGAUGAUCAGCCACACUGGAACUGAGAUACGGUCCAGACUCCUACGGGAGGCAGCAGUGGGGAAUUUUGCGCAAUGGGGGAAACCCUGACGCAGCAACGCCGCGUGAGUGAUGAAGGCUUUCGGGUCGUAAAGCUCUGUCAGUAGGGAAGAAGUGUAAGGGUGCUAAUACCAUCUUUACUUGACGGUACCUACAAAGGAAGCACCGGCUAACUCCGUGCCAGCAGCCGCGGUAAUACGGAGGGUGCAAGCGUUGUUCGGAUUUAUUGGGCGUAAAGCGCGUGUAGGCGGUUUCUUAAGUCUGAUGUGAAAGCCCUGGGCUCAACCCAGGAAGUGCAUUGGAUACUGGGAGACUUGAAUGCGGGAGAGGGUAGUGGAAUUCCUAGUGUAGGAGUGAAAUCCGUAGAUAUUAGGAGGAACACCGGUGGCGAAGGCGGCUACCUGGACCGAUAUUGACGCUGAGACGCGAAAGCGUGGGGAGCAAACAGGAUUAGAUACCCUGGUAGUCCACGCCGUAAACGAUGAGAACCAGGUGUUGCGGGUAUUGACCCCUGCAGUGCCGCAGCUAACGCAUUAAGUUCUCCGCCUGGGAAGUACGGUCGCAAGACUAAAACUCAAAUGAAUUGACGG
rnacentral:rRNA from 1 species